ensembl:lncRNA
GUUUUUACCAGCACAUUGCUCUACUGUAUCGCAAACAGCGGACACGUCAGCAGGCGUUGCGGUGCUGAGCUGUGAAUGAGGAACCAGCGCCAUGCUGAAGAGCCUCGGCCACCUCCUGCCCCUCGGGGUCCAUUUUCCCCCGCUUUCUCUUUGUUUGUUGUCUCAGAACCUGUGACACAAAGAAACCCAUCCUGUCUUAGGAAACUUAAUGCUGCAAACUCUACCUAGAGGAACCUUUGAAGACUGUUACAUAAGAACACACCUUCCUCACACGAGGAGUUUCCCUCUGCCCUCGUCCCCCUCCCGCCUCACCUUUUACUGUGUUUUUAUCCCUUUUUAGACAGUGAGUUUAAGAAACAGCAGGCGUGUCUUUUCACGGAUGAACGGGUGUUGUCCUGACCGAGGAAAAACUGGGCUGAGGCUGAGGAUGGUUUGGACUGGAGGGGAGGACGGAGCUGGGGGUGGGUUCUGGAGCAGAGCUACACUGGACUCGGGCACACUCGGAGCAACAUCCUUUGCUAUGAGACUACUUCUCAGCUCUGUGGAAGACUGGGAGCCGUGGAGUCUGGUCUCAUCGUCCCUGCCCCGUUCAGGGUAGGACGGUGGCCAAGUCAGAGGACAGAAGUGGCCCAGGACCCCUGCGCCUUCCUCCCAAGUGUGCUGUCGUCCAGGCAGGCUCCUGGCUGUGGAGAGUGUCUUCUCUUUGGUCCCUCAUGGGGAGGUCUCCACUCCCUCCAGUGUGCUUGCCUGGAGAAUCCCAGGGACGGAGCAGCCUGGUGGGCUGCCGUCUGUGGGGUUGCACAGAGUUGGACACGACUGAAGCGACUUAGCAGCAGCAGCAGGGGCGGUCUCCUGAGCCAGAGGGAGCCAGGAGUGAGCAAGGGAAGGAGGAGACACGUGGGGACAGAGGCCGCUGUGUCACAGUGCCCGCAGAGGACGCUUCAUCACAGGCCAUGGAAGGGCAUGGGCAUGCGCGUUCGCACAUCCUGGGGCUGUUGGUCCCUCCCAGGAGUCCUUCUCUGAUUGAAUUACUUGGGGUGUGAGGGCCACAGGCAGGUCCUUCUGAGGAGAAAGGGAGACCCGGCCCAGUGGCAGUGGGGUAAGCGCCGUCAGCCUCGUUUCAGAUGGCCUUCUUGUCCUCUUGGCUCUCAGUAGGGGCCCCAAGAGCUCAGUCCUGCUGGGGAGGCUUCCUUACACGUGCCAGCUGCUUCUGAUGCAGACUUCAUCCUGUCUGCAUGGGGUGGCCUGUGUCCAGAAGAGGGACCUUGUGCAGCCUCGGACAGCCUCAGGACGCUUGAGCCGCCCACUCUUGCUUUCUUAGCCAAGGGAAAAAUUUGUCAUCUCCAGGCCUCCGAGGUGGUUCUUCCCCUGCCCCCAGGGACCAGGCCGACCCUCCUGUUGUGGCUCCCUGCCUUAGGGAGCUGAGCAGGGGAUCCCGCGGCUCUUCUCUGUCUCUUUUCUCUCCAGCUGGCCGCCGUGCUGCUCCUCUUCGGGUAUUUGGGGUUCGUGUGUGAUGUUUCCUUCGUGGCAGGCCGAGCCGUGUAUUGAGGGUCCACCGUAUGUCGUGUAUGUGGCUCAGAGAGCCCCAUCCCGUGGCCCCUGUACUCUGAACCAUGAGGCCAGGGAGGGAGCUGUUCUCUUGGGGUGGGAGGACUGGAUGGCCCUCUUGGAAAUGGAAUUCUGCUUCUUCGAGAAUACAAUGUGACGUUCCCAGCAUCUGUUGGCAAUACAAGGAUUUCAUGUUUUUUUUUUUUUUUAAGGAAUAUAGUGAGCGUACGUACGUAAGUUGUUAGAAUUGGUACUAGACGUGUACUAGAGGUGAAGGGGCUUCCCAGGUGGCGCAGUGGUAAAGAAUCUACCUGCAAUGCAAGAGACGUGGGUUCAGUCCCUGGGUGGGGAAGAUCCCCUGGAGUAGGAAAUGGCAACCCACUCCAGGAUUCUUGCCUGGAAAAUUCCAUGGACAGAGGAGCCCGGUGGGCUGUAGUCUGUGGGGUCCCAAAGAGUGGCGUGUGACUGCACGUGCGUACUAGAAGUUGAACAGCCAGGCGUUAUUCCAGAGAACUUGGCUUACUAGAAGAAUACCUAAAUCGGAAAGCAUUUUCCAGGAGUUAGCUCAGUUUGUCAGGGCCAGCUGUUUCUGAAUCUUUGGAGAGAUGGCCAGGCCUGCCUCAGACCUGACUCUUCAAGAAGCACAGGGGACUGACUGACUACCCCCCACCCCCCACCCCAUCCCGCUGCCUCCCCUUGCGGUUCAGGGCAAGUGGCCAAGAAGGAAAAGGAGACAAGGCGGCCUUUUCUGGCCAGUGGCUGUCCACAAAAGCUGAGCUGGUAAAGUACUCAGCAGCCGAUGUGUUCAGCCUAGGAAUGAUGGGUUCCAGUCCCAAUCAGGAGUUCUGUUUUAGGCAAAGAAACCAGCCCAGUAAUUCAGUUGAUAAGCUGUUUGUUUUUCUUCUAAGUCUAGAUUUGUAAACAAUGAAUUCAGGGUUAUAGGCAUGUUCUUUAAGUAAGAUUCCUGACAGUUAAUUUGCAACCAGCAGUCCACCUAUGAAUGUAUCCCAGACCUUUAGGAGGCUUGGGGAAGUUUGUUUUUUUUUUUUUUUUAAGAGGAUUUAGUUUUGUAGCAAAAAUAAAUGGAAUUUUAAAAUGCACCCCUUCCCUUGGAAAUUAAUUCAUGUGACUUAGCCACACUUGAAAAACAGUUAUAGUCGGCCCUCCACAGCCAUGGGUUCCUCAUUCUCGGGUUCAUCCAACCUUGAAUCAAAAAUAUUUUGGGGAAAAAUAUUACAGAAAGUUCCAAAAAUCAAAACUUGAAUUUGCCACUUACUGGCAACUCUUUACAUAGUACUUAUAUUAUAUUUACAACUCUUUACAUAGUAUUUUAUUAUAUUAGGUAUUAUAAGUAAUCUGGAGGUGAUUUCAAAUGUGUGUCAUUUUAUGCAAGAGCUGCAUCAGUGGAUUUCGGAUCUCCACCCCGCAACCCUCCAUAUAGAGAGAUGACUGCGGUGGGUCCAGGAGAACUACAAAUGACCAUCAAGUAGAAGUCCAGAUUAUCUAGUGGGGUAUUUUGAAUACUCUUGUUUUAAACUCAUUUUGCGUUCACUGUAAACUUUGGUUUGGACGGAAUUUUGAAUUGAAAAGAUUUACCACUACUGAGAAUUUUUACCCAGCUUUUUACAUUGUUGUGACGGUAUCUUCCAGGUAUGAAUGAAGCAGGACUCUGUGAUUGUGAUCCUCCAUGUACCCCUGUAGUGCCAAAACCAGUGAGAUUUUAUUUGCUCCUAUGGCAGCUCGUAGCGAUAAGACAAGUGUUUUUUCCUCAUGAAUUAAAACACAUAUUCCCUAAAUGCCAGCAUAUGGAGAUGGGCUUUGCACUGCCCUUUCCAGGAGUGUCUUUGGAUUGUCUGGAGCCUGGGCAAUUCUGAGAACUCCUGCAAGCCCACUACAGGACACUAAAGAAAUAUACACACAGACGUGUGUGUAUAUGCAGUGGAUUCUACAGCUGUGGGCUUUUCUGGACAUCCACAGAAACGCGUUUCCUUCACUUGCAAAGUUUACAUUUUGAAGCUCACAGUUACAAAAAAAUAGGGCCCAUUAGCUCAUGCUUUUCAGGCAGAUGUGGAUGGGUCUUUUUUUUGCAAAUGGAGGAGUCCUGUCUUGAGCCCUGGGAAUUUCUGCUGUGGGUUGGGCGCGGGCUCAUUCCUGGAUUCUCCCAAUCAUGUUCGCAUUCGAAUGUUGUUAGGUAGCAUUGUAAAUAAAAGAAUAGGUUAUAUAAUAGAGAUACGACACUUGAAAUUUUACUUUAAGAAAUCUGUAGCACUACAUAUAUAUUUAGUUAUAUCACCCGACGGAUUUCUUCUGCACAGUGUGGAGAUUGUUUUAUACCACAGAUUAUUUUUAUAAAGUCCAGUGAGUUUGAGUAAGAAUGAUUUUGUAAUCAGAGCCAUGAGCUUUACCUUUCAAGAUAAGUGUACACUGGAGUGUGAGUGGUGUGGGACCGUCCCUGAGUGCUCCUGCGACUUCGCGUUGAUACACUGGCAGAUUGCAGUCCACCGAUGGGUCUUGUUUGGCCCAAAACUCCACUCACAGCUGUCUGCAUGGGGCAGUCUGCCGAGGAGAGGGGCUGGGAAAGGCCAGAGGAUCCUGCCGUGUGCUUUAUAUACGUGCUUCCUCCUGAGGUUUCUUUUGAACAAAGGGUUCUGAGGUGAAUAACUCCUUUGUAAGUUACUCUCAUGGGUGUAGUGGUGUGAAGGGGUUUCGGGGAACAGAAAUGGUACCAGGGUGCAGAUUGGGGUGGCUUGGGACUCGAGUAAGAUUCAGGCAACAAAUGUGUAAAAGGAGGAUUCGGUGAUUGGAGAAAUCUACCAAACCGAAUGAUCUCAGACCAAAUUAUCCAGUUUUUCAGGAGAGAAUUUUCCAUUCGGAAAGGGAGGGGCGUGGUGUGUGGGCAGUGUGAUCAGAGUAAAUGGAGGGCUGCCUGGCAAGUUUGUCUUCUCUGUUAAGGCUGCUGGGAGGCGAGAGGGGCUGGACUGGCUCACCGCUUGCCUCUAGCAAGCAACCCUGGCACCCGCAGAGGCGGCUCAGAACCAGGUACCAUCAGGGCCUCUGCCCAGCGCCUACAAGGGUUUCCUGCUCUUCCUACAAAGGUCAGCAUCACGGCCGUGAUGUGGAAGGCGGUCUUUACCUGUUAGCUUUUUGGAUUUUGGGUGGAGAGUGGAUGGUUACUGGGGUGAGCCUUUCUGAUGGGGAUGUAUAAGAGGUCAGUCAUGUAGCUAAUACUCUGUAUCCACAGUUGCUGAAGGCCUUCUGGCUUCAGCCGCUGGGUUCAAAGGUGCGCUGGUUGGGACGGUGUUGUCAGGAGAGCCUCUACUGUGUCCCGUUAAACCUGCUGUGCUUCUCUUCGGCCUGGCCGAGAGCAGCGUUUUGCGCUACCCCUUUUAUGCUUGAAUGAGCUGCAUUUCGGCAGGUGCAGGGGCACUCUGGGCAGCAACCCUCGGCCCUUCCCUGCUCCCCAUCAGAGAGCGUCUGUCUGCCCUCCAGCCGCGCGCCUUGGAUGCAAUUGCCGUGCCUUUGUUUUCGCCACCUGCCUCCCCCCAAAAGCAACUGCUGUAAGCUUUUUUCUACUUGUCUUUUCUAGCCAGAAAUCCCUCCUUUUUCCUUUUUCCCAGCUGUAUUUUCUGGAUGCAGUUCUGUGCUCCAGGCGUGUUAAGAACCAGUUACCUCAGACCUCGUGUUGGAACAGUGUCACCAUCUGGGUCCUCUCGAAACUGCAGGCUUGCGACACGCACACUCUGACACACACACACACACACACAGACACACACACACACAGGAACCCUGCCGAGUAUGGGUACUUGUUUGUUUUAAAGUAAAACUCUUCCCAAGGAUUGGAAAAAGGGGCUUCUGGCAAGCUCUUCACGGCCCUGUGGUGGGAUGGGUCUUGAGUGUCAUCUGAACGGUGCUUCCCGUGUUCCAUUCUGAAUUCUGCCGUUUUCAGUAUUCUCGGCUCUGAAUAGGCAAAGUGACUCAGCUGGUUGGCCUUGUUCACAAAUGAGUUCUGAAAAUGAGCUCUUUGUAACACACGUCCAGUCGCUAAAGCUCAAGUGUAGAACAUUCCCUUAAAUGGCAGGAUCGAUCCCCCCACCCACCCCAUCCACCACAGUGCAUUUUGGGAAGAUGUCUGUAGCAUACGUUGCUGUGAAAUUAGGCCUUGCGGGUUAUGGCUGUUUGUCAUUUUGAUGUAUUUUAAAUAAAUAUAUAUAUAUAUUUUUAAAGAGCCUUUUUUUUUUUUUUCCAAACCAGUUCAGAAAGUUUAAUUAACCAGCAGUCACCACAUCUGAAUUUGCGUCUCCGGGGCAGACCAAGAUUAAAGUGGUAACUUGGCCCUAGUGAGCGUGGGCUGCUGCCUGGCCGGUGCUGCUGGCCACGGGACAGCAGGGUCAGCGUGUCCCCGCUGGGUCCCAGCGCAGCCCUCAGAGCGCGUGCUCUGCUCUCUGCAGGGGCUUUAGCUGAGGCUUUCUCAGAGCACUGCCACACAUUAAGUGUCUGUUUUGCCAAAUAGUUUUUCCAUAAGUGAAGAACGCACUCAUCGAAGUCUUACCAGCAGCGGCAGAGAUGAGAAUAGGAAGGAUGAGGCAACAGCUGGGGUUUGAGUUGGAAAGUGUCCAGGUGAUUUUCGAGAGGCCAUCUGAGAGCCAGUGACCAUGCAGAGAUUCUUAGGAGACCUCGUCUGAGAGCCUGACGACCUCCUGGGAGGGGGAGACUUGUUAAAAUGCCAGCGUCUUUUCCCUCCCGCCUCCAUUUUUUUUUUCUUCUAGGAUUCUGUAAAAAUCCAAAAGUAAGUUGGGUGGCACUUGAGAAUUGGGGGGGUGGUGAGGGUUACCGCAGAUGAGAAACAUACUUCGAGAUUUCAGUUCCAUACCACAAAUCGACAUGAUGCCAUUUUUCAACUGUAGAAAAAGAAUCUGCUUAUGAAUUUGACAUAUUUAUGGUAGCAUCAAAGGCCAAAUUUUCCAUGUGUUAACAUUUUUCCACAUUUGUCCUUGAAUCUGAAUAACUUCAUACAGUACUGUAAAUUCAGCUUACAUUGAGUUUGAUGUCAGUUCUUGUGAAAAGAGCUUCUGCACGCAACAGACACAGGUAAAGAACACAGCAGAGCACAUCUGCAGGACCGGUUUUGGAACCAGUAGAUGUCACCUCUCAUUUGCCAUCGUCAUAUGUCAGUUUUACCAGCUCCUUCUAAAUGUUUGUAGUAUUUGUAAGGGAAAGACAGAAAUCCCUAAGACUUGUCUAAUAACUUAGUGGAGAGUGUGUGUGUUGGGUUUAGGAUGGAUAGCAAAGUCGUCUUGAGCUGUGUUAUCUAACUUGUAUAUAAAACUGUAAUUAAAAGUUUGGAUUCACCUGUUUCUUGCCGUUAACAAUGAUGAAUAAUUUGCAAACUCUGGAAAUGUGACUAGGAUAUGAUUUCAGACAGUAGAAGUUGAGGAAGCUCUUUAAGUGCUAAAACUGAAGACUUCUUGUUUUUGGCUCAAAUUCAAUAAGUACUGUGUACCAGGAUAUGUGAGAUGUAAAUGUAAUAGGUCACUUUUCACCCUUGUAGCUAUACAAUAAAAGUUUUGUAGAACAGAAAUAGAUCGUACUACUGAAUUAACAAAAGUUAUACUAAAGUAUCAUGUUUAAAAAAUAUAUAUAUAUAUACACACACAGAGUUAAGCUUGUUGCUGUUACCCUGUCUGGAUUUGAAAAGUGUGCUGAUUUAUAUAUGUAUAAUAUAUAUAUAUUAUACAUAUAUAAAAUACACACACCUAUAUAUAUAUAUUAAAUACCCGCACACACCUGAAAUGGCCUAAAGCAGACAUCCAUGUAAUUACAGUUGCAAAAUGAAGACAUUUUGGAAAGAACAUUGUAUCAUAGUUCAUUCAUUUGCAGUGGAUCUUUGUUCCUUUUUACUGUGGUAAUUUUAGAAAUGAGUGUCAAGUUUGAAAUUAGAUCUGCUAAGUUGGGGUUUUGCUGCUUAAACUCUGCACUGGGUCCUCAAAUAAACCGAUGUGAAUGUAGUCUCCCCCCAACCCCCACCCCCCGUGUGAAGAAGCAGCCACACCCCAACAGAAUAGGAG